AGGGAUGUAGCCCAAAUGGUAGAGCGCUCGCUUUGUAUGCGAGAGAUAAUGGAAUCGAUACCCCACAUUUCCA
rnacentral:tRNA from 1 species